rnacentral:rRNA from 1 species
AUGCCUUCGGUAAUCAGCAGCAACACACGAGAUCCUGGAACCUGCAUUAGUUAUUGUUUGCACAAUAAUUACUUACUGAUAUCAUUACCAAGCUAUCCGAGCCAUCACUCCCCGGACACCACUUGGUUUCCUUGCCCAUCUAUUCGUCGGAUCUUUACACAAUUGACAGGAUUGACUUCAGAUCUUACGAAAGGUUUCAUAAAGAUAGUUCAGAACCUAAUCUAUACAAAGUUUUACAAACGAAAUCUACACAAACUCAUGGAUUUGAAACUGAAAGAUAUUAUGUUAUGCAUCUCUCCAAAAAUCCAGCAUAAAUAUAUAGAGGGAACAUAUAUUCCCAGAAAUUUACGGUCACGGUCAAGAGCAACGGUGAGUGUGGAGCAAGCCUGUGGGAGAGUUUUUCUGAAAGCAAGCCCUCAGCACGCCCCGACAACCUUUCCCUGUCAGCUUUGCUCCCCUCUUCCUCCUGUUUGCUUAGAAUUGUUUUAUUGUCGUUCAUAUUCUGGAUUAAAUUCUGAUGAGGUUUCUGCUUGUUAG